CUGGCGGCGCGUCUUAAACAUGCAAGUCGAACGAUCUGUAGCAAUACGAGGGGGUGGCGGACGGGUGAGGAACACGUAGGAAUCUACCUAGAAGAGCGGGACAACCUUGGGAAACCGGGGCUAAUACCGCAUAGUACAGUGAUGUUAAAGGGCUAGCAAUAGUCGCUUCUAGAUGAGCCUGCGGUCUAUCAGCUUGUUGGCGGGGUAACGGCCCACCAAGGCUACGACGGAUAGCCGGUCUGAGAGGAUGAUCGGCCACACUGGCACUGAGACACGGACCAGACUCCUACGGGAGGCAGCAGUUAAGAAUCUUGCGCAAUGGACGAAAGUCUGACGCAGCGACGCCGCGUGAAGGAUGAAGGCUUUCAGGUUGUAAACUUCGGUAGACUGGGAAGAAAAAGUAAGUUCGUUGAGGGCUUACAUUGACGGUACCAGUCUGAAGCCCCGGCUAAUUACGUG
rnacentral:rRNA from 1 species